rnacentral:rRNA from 1 species
UACAGAGGUCUCAAGCGUUGUUCGGAUUCAUUGGGCGUAAAGGGUGUGUAGGUGGCGCGUUAAGUCGGGUGUGAAAUUUCGGAGCUUAACUCCGAAACUGCAUUCGAUACUGGCGUGCUUGAGGACUGGAGAGGAGACUGGAAUUUACGGUGUAGCAGUGAAAUGCGUAGAUAUCGUAAGGAAGACCAGUGGCGAAGGCGGGUCUCUGGGCCGAUACUGACGCUGAGGAGCGAAAGCGUGGGGAGCGAACAGG